UACAGAGGGUGCAAGCGUUGUUCGGAAUUAUUGGGCGUAAAGGGCGCGUAGGCGGUGCGGUAAGUCUGUAGUGAAAUCUCUGGGCUCAACUCAGAGUCUGCUGCAGAAACUGCCGUGCUUGAGUGUGGGAGAGGUGAGUGGAAUUCCCGGUGUAGCGGUGAAAUGCGUAGAUAUCGUUUGGAACGCCAACGGUGAAAACAGACAGCUGGGAGUGUGCUGACGCUGAGACACGAAAGCCAGGGGAGCGAACGGG
rnacentral:rRNA from 1 species